UACGUAGGGGGCAAGCGUUGUCCGGAUUUAUUGGGCGUAAAGCGCGUGUAGGCGGCCAGAUAGGUCUGCUGUGAAAACUCGAGGCUCAACCUCGAGCUGUCGGCGGAAACCAUCUGGCUAGAGUCCGGAAGAGGAGAGUGGAAUUCCUGGUGUAGCGGUGAAAUGCGCAGAUAUCAGGAAGAACACCCGUGGCUAAGGCGGUUCUCUAGUACGGUACUGACGCUGAGACGCGAAAGCGUGGGGAGCGAACAGG
rnacentral:rRNA from 1 species